rnacentral:ribozyme from 10 species
AAAAAGAAAGGGAAAGAAAAAGCGAAAACAGUAGGAAAUGGAUAGCAUCUAUUUAUUUCCCUAAUCUAUUUAUUUCCCUGGGCUUUGCCCCAUACCCUUUCUGAUUCCUGCUACCGCUGCGUGUUUUU